UACGAAGGGGGCUAGCGUUGCUCGGAAUUACUGGGCGUAAAGCGCACGUAGGCGGCUUCUUAAGUCGGUGGUGAAAUCCUGGAGCUCAACUCCAGAACUGCCUUCGAUACUGAGAAGCUCGAGUCCGGGAGAGGUGAGUGGAACUGCGAGUGUAGAGGUGAAAUUCGUAGAUAUUCGGAAGAACACCAGUGGCGAAGGCGACUCACUGGACACGUAUUGACGCUGAGGUGCGAAAGCGUGGGGAGCAAACAGGG
rnacentral:rRNA from 1 species